rnacentral:rRNA from 1 species
GAUGAACGCUGGCGGCGUGCCUAAUACAUGCAAGUCGAGCGAACGGACGAGAAGCUUGCUUCUCUGAUGUUAGCGGCGGACGGGUGAGUAGCACGUGGAUAACCUACCUAUAAGACUGGGAUAACUUCGGGAAACCGGAGCUAAUACCGGAUAAUAUUUUGGACCGCAUUGUUCAAAAGUGAAAGACGGUCUUGCUGUCACUUAUAGAUGGAUCCGCGCUGCAUUAGCUAGUUGGUAAGGUAACGGCUUACCAAGGCAACGAUGCAUAGCCGACCUGAGAGGGUGAUCGGCCACACUGGAACUGAGACACGGUCCAGACUCCUACGGGAGGCAGCAGUAGGGAAUCUUCCGCAAUGGGCGAAAGCCUGACGGAGCAACGCCGCGUGAGUGAUGAAGGUCUUCGGAUCGUAAAACUCUGUUAUUAGGGAAGAACAUAUGUGUAAGUAACUGUGCACAUCUUGACGGUACCUAAUCAGAAAGCCACGGCUAACUACGUG